rnacentral:rRNA from 1 species
CUCCCGGAUGUUAGCGGCGGACGGGUGAGUAACACGUGGGUAACCUGCCUGUAAGACUGGGAUAACUCCGGGAAACCGGAGCUAAUACCGGAUAGUUCCUUGAACCGCAUGGUUCAAGGAUGAAAGACGGUUUCGGCUGUCACUUACAGAUGGACCCGCGGCGCAUUAGCUAGUUGGUGAGGUAACGGCUCACCAAGGCGACGAUGCGUAGCCGACCUGAGAGGGUGAUCGGCCACACUGGGACUGAGACACGGCCCAGACUCCUACGGGAGGCAGCAGUAGGGAAUCUUCCGCAAUGGACGAAAGUCUGACGGAGCAACGCCGCGUGAGUGAUGAAGGUUUUCGGAUCGUAAAGCUCUGUUGUUAGGGAAGAACAAGUGCAAGAGUAACUGCUUGCACCUUGACGGUACCUAACCAGAAAGCCACGGCUAACUACGUGCCAGCAGCCGCGGUAAUACGUAGGUGGCAAGCGUUGUCCGGAAUUAUUGGGCGUAAAGGGCUCGCAGGCGGUUUCUUAAGUCUGAUGUGAAAGCCCCCGGCUCAACCGGGGAGGGUCAUUGGAAACUGGGAAACUUGAGUGCAGAAGAGGAGAGUGGAAU